UACGUAGGGGGCAAGCGUUGUCCGGAUUUAUUGGGCGUAAAGCGCGUGUAGGCGGCUGGGUAGGUCCGCUGUGAAAACUCGAGGCUCAACCUCGAGACGUCGGCGGAAACCAUCCAGCUAGAGUCCGGAAGAGGAGAGUGGAAUUCCUGGUGUAGCGGUGAAAUGCGCAGAUAUCAGGAAGAACACCCGUGGCGAAAGCGGCUCUCUGGGACGGUACUGACGCUGAGACGCGAAAGCGUGGGGAG
rnacentral:rRNA from 1 species